CGAACGGGUGAGUAACGCGUGAGGAACCUGCCUCAAAGAGGGGGACAACAGUUGGAAACGACUGCUAAUACCGCAUAAGCCCACGGCUCGGCAUCGAGCAGAGGGAAAAGGAGCAAUCCGCUUUGAGAUGGCCUCGCGUCCGAUUAGCUAGUCGGUGAGGUAACGGCCCACCAAGGCGACGAUCGGUAGCCGGACUGAGAGGUUGAACGGCCACAUUGGGACUGAGACACGGCCCAG
rnacentral:rRNA from 1 species